AACUGGACGACAGGAGACGAGGCUCAUUAGAAACAAACAUGGGCUAAAAGGAUGUGAUUGUGGUUUUAAGCACACAGCAAACAUUCAACCCCCUCCGUCAUAAAUCCGGAGCAUCAUCGAUCUGCAGCCUGCUGUGAAACAGAGCAAACAUAAUCAAUGCUGCUGUUAUGAAAUGAGUAAACAGGCUCCACUGUCAUGAUAAAUAAAAACACAGUUGUCUGACGACCACAGUGCUGUGACCUAUUAAAGACAGCUCGUAGCCUCUGCACUGGCUUCAAUACUUAUUGAUGUGCUGACGUCAAGAACGAAUUAGUACAAAUUAGGUCUUGACAUGGAAGAGAUGCUUCAGAAAUUUAAGACAAUACUCUUUUUCAUUUCUAACCAGGGUGAACAUUAAUCCUGUUUGUUAUGUUUCUGAUAAAAUCCCUUUUGUAUAAAGACGUAUAUUCCUGUAUCAGUUCCAGUAUUAUGUAACAGCCCAUAUUCACACAACCGCACACACAGUCUGUUUGGGAAGCAGCCUAUUAGAUGAAAGACUCCAACAACAUACUAACUACCUUGCUGGAGAUGGAAACAGUGAAUCAACACCCACAGAGGAGGUGGGAAAAGGCAGAGAGGCUCUGAAGCAACAGUCCCUCCCAGGCAGGACUGUCAAAGAGUAGCAGGCAACUGAAGCACGCGCAGCAGAAAACUCCUGUGUGUCGCGACAAACAAGCACCAAGAGGAAGAGAACAAGCCCCAGGACGGUGCUAAGAAAGGAACAGAGAUGAGAGCGCUGGAGGAUGACACGGGAGCGCGAAGGACAAUGGAAGCGCAGCGAGUGGGAUCUGCUUUGGUGUGAUCACACUUUUCCUCCCGUCCACCUGCAGGACGUGGUGAAAGCCUGGGGAACUAUCCUGCACACCCCAGUCGUGAGCUGGCUGCUAAUCUGAGGCUUCACACUCCUCCUCUUGUGACGUUUAGCACGUUCCUACAACAAACCAACAAACACACACUGGAGACACUGGUCCUGUGACUCCUCGAGGGAGCGAAGCCCAUGUCCAACUGGUCCGCUUACUUCUGCCCUGUGACUUAGUUUGGGCUUGGCCGACUGUGUGAAAGCAGCAGCGCCUGUCACAGGAUGGACGCCAGAGAGGAGACGUUGAACCUCCUGAACAGGAUAUGGGUCAAGCUGCAGGGUUUACCCAACGCCAGCCCUCUAGAUCUUGGAGCUUUCUUCGUCCUCCUAACCUUCAUGUUGGUGUUCCUGUUUAUGUCGGUGCUAACUUGCGCAACAUGCUGCUGCUGCCGCAAGACCAGGACGAAGAGGUCGAUCAUUUGAGCGAAUACGGUCAACACAGCAGGACGUAUUCACACAUGCAAUAAAUGAUCCCCUUCGUCAAACUGUCCUCGAAACUACUCCAGUGUCGAGACUCGCGGUCAUGUAUUGAUAGACCCACAUCAAGAUCAAUCUCAAUAACAGAUUGCACUGGACGUGUUCGGCAGCAAAGACGAGGCCCAGCCCUCACUCACAAAGAGCCUGACUAACAACAAGCAGGAUGUCUAACUGCCCGACACACCUGCUAAGAGCUGCCAGCAGGUUGGGAGCAGCUACAUUCCCUGAAGCAUCUCUGUGCUUUACCUGAGGAAAAAACAUGACCAUGCCCAACUGUGGUAUUAAUGUAAGAAAUAUAUGCAUAUGUAAGACGCUGAGAAAACCCCAAAGUGAUUCUGUUUGUAAUGAAGAAAUGGAACUUGAAAGUCAGGCAAGAUUGUCCUGAGAGAAGACAAUCCAAGUCUGCCCUCUGUUGUGCACAAACUGAAACAGCAUGUAGACAAUGUGACUCAUGCAUGUAUAAGGCUGCAUGUGGGGUGAUGACGGUAUCUGUCCAGUCUAUUUUUAUUCAUAGACAUUAAACCAAACGUGAUGUUC